AUUGAACGGCUGGCGGCGAUGCCUUACACAUGCAAGUCGAACGGCAGCACGGGAGCAAUCCUGGUGGCGAGUGGCGAACGGGUGAGUAAUAUAUCGGAACGUGCCCAGUCGUGGGGGAUAACGUAGCGAAAGCUACGCUAAUAACCGCAUACGAUCUACGGAUGAAAGCGGGGGAGUCGCAAGACCUCGCGCGAUUGGAGCGGCCGAUAUCAGAUUAGCUAGUUGGUGGGGUAAAAGCUCACCAAGGCGACGAUCUGUAGCUGGUCUGAGAGGACGACCAGCCACACUGGAACUGAGACACGGUCCAGACUCCUACGGGAGGCAGCAGUGGGGAAUUUUGGACAAUGGGCGCAAGCCUGAUCCAGCAAUGCCGCGUGCAGGAUGAAGGCCUUCGGGUUGUAAACUGCUUUUGUACGGAACGAAACGGUGAGCUCUAAUAAAGCUUGCUAAUGACGGUACCGUAAGAAUAAGCACCGGCUAACUACGUG
rnacentral:rRNA from 1 species